UACGGAGGACCCGAGCGUUAUCCGGAUUCAUUGGGUUUAAAGGGUGCGUAGGCGGACCUGUAAGUCAGUGGUGAAAUCCCUUCGCUUAACGAAGGAACUGCCGUUGAUACUGCUGGUCUUGAGUACAGUUGAGGUGGGCGGAAUGUGUCAUGUAGCGGUGAAAUGCUUAGAUAUGACACAGAACACCGAUUGCGAAGGCAGCUCGCUAAACUGUAACUGACGCUGAGGCACGAAAGCGUGGGUAGCAAACAGG
rnacentral:rRNA from 1 species